UACAGGGGGUGCAAACGUUGCUCGGAAUUAUUGGGCGUAAAGCGCUCGUAGGCUGCUACUUAAGUCGGAUGUGAAAGCCCCUGGCUCAACUGGGGAAGUGCACCCGAAACUGAGUGGCUUGAGUGCGAAAGAGGGUCGCGGAAUUCCCGGUGUAGAGGUGAAAUUCGUAGAUAUCGGGAGGAACACCGGUGGCGAAGGCGGCGACCUGGGUCGACACUGACGCUGAGGCGCGAAAGCGUGGGGAGCAAACAGG
rnacentral:rRNA from 1 species